GAUGAACGCUGGCGGCGUGCCUAAUACAUGCAAGUCGAGCGAACAGACGCGGAGCUUGCUCCUCUGACGUUAGCGGCGGACGGGUGAGUAACACGUGGAUAACCUACCUGUCAGACUGGGAUAACUUCGAGAAACCGGCGCUAAUACCGUAUAAUAUCUUGAACCGCAUGGUUCAAUAGUGAAAGACGGUGUUGCUGUCACUUCUAGAUGGAUCCGCGCCGCAUUAGCUAGUUGGUAAGGUAACGGCUUACCAAGGCGACCAGGCGUAGGCGACCUGUGAGGGUGAUCGGCGACACUGGAACGGAGCCAGGGUCCAGACGCCUACGGGAGGCAGCAGUAGGGAAUCGUCCGCAAUGGGCGAAAGCCUGACGGAGCAACGCCGCGUGAGUGAUGAAGGUCUUCGGAUCGUAAUACUCUGUUAUGAGUGAAGAACAAAUGUGUAAGGAACUAUGCACGUCGUGACGGUACCGAAUCAGAAAGCACCGGCUAACUACGUG
rnacentral:rRNA from 1 species